AGUUACAUCAACACAGCCGUUUCAUGGUGUAGGCAGCUUGAUGGAAAAGCUCAAAGUGAAACUCAGAUUCCCACUGUGACUGAAAAUUGGUAAUUAUGUUUCAGUAUUGCUUUAUCAGGCAUUAUGGCUCUGGUUAAUUUCUUUUCAUGUUUAGUAGCAGAUACAUUUUCAGAUGAAAUGCACAAAUGUUACUUCUUAAUCAUAGACCUACUUAAUGACAAUCAUGCAAUGAUUUUGCUGCUUUUGCAUGGAUCAUAGAGGAUGCAGUUAUCAACUGCCAUUUCACUCUAUAUACUUUUUAUUCAUUCACAAUCAUUUUUGCUAUUCUGUCUAAUAUGCUUCUAUUAUCAGUGUUCUGAAAAAAUAAUUUAGUACGUGAUGCCAGCUUGCAUAGUUAAUUUUCUUCUGUGCAAGGGAAGCUAGUCACAUUUAACCCUGCCAAUUUUGUUAUUUUGACAUAUUCUUCUAAACUAACCCAUAGUUGCCAUUUGAAUAUUCACUGAGGAUAUUCAGAGGUUGUCCUAGGAGUUAUUUGGAGUUUGUCCAGCAUGGAUUUGGCUCUCAAAUGUAGAUAUUUGCAGACAGAUUUGUGGACUUGUUUGUCUGCUUUUUUGGGUAAAUUGAGGUCACCUUCACCAACACAAGCAGGCAGUGGACUAAGUGUUAUGAAAAAAUAAUCUACUCUUUACUAACUUAAAGACAUGGCAGCUGUGUUGUGCUCUACUAACUUAGUGUUGUGGUAGUUAUGCUGGUGUCACCCUCUACUAACCAAUGUAAAACAUGGGGUAGGUGUUUCAUAUUCUACUAGUUUUGUGAAAGCAGGUAACAAUCCAGAUCAGAUUGCAGAAUGUGCUUGAACUCUGCUUUUCAUGCUUCCAAUAUUCAAGAACUGAGAACCAAAUAUUGGGUAAAACCAGUGUAUGCAAAUGUGUAAUUUGUCAUACUAAUGCACAUUAGGCUUCAAUUUCUGUUUUGGUUUUAAUUUUCGCAUCCAAAAGUAAUUUGGAAGGUAUGUUGCCAUGGUUGUACAGAAACAAAACUUAUCUGAGGGCCCAAAAAUUCUUUUUUUUUGUGAUACCACUUUCUGAACUCCAAAGUAUGAGCUGCUAGGGCACUAACUUGUUUUUUUGUGUGUAAAUAUUGUCUCCCUAUUUCUCUUUUUCACAUCUUUAUUUUCACAAGUCAUAGUUUGAAUAUAUGUUGUUUUGAAAGUUAAAUAUUCUACCUGCAGUUUACCCUCCUAUUAUGUGCUAUAUAUCCCCUGUCAUCAUUUUAUAUUGGACUCUUACCACACCAAGCAGUAGCUUAACCAAUCCUGAUACCACUGUAGCUUUUCAUAGCAAUUCUAAUAAUAUCCCACAAAGUCUUGCGCAAGCUAUAUGCAGUUGAGAGAGAAAAAAAAAAUAAAUAAAUAAAUAUAUAUAUAUAUAUAAUUUCAAGUAGAGAUUGUAGCUGUAUUAGUCCAGUGAUGUAGGUGUGUGUAUAAAUAUAUACACACACACACUAUAUACAGUAUUCUCUCCUAUUUUUGUCUCCUCUCUUCUUCACGCUUUGUUUUANNNNNNNNNNNNNNNNNNNNNNNNNNNNNNNNNNNNNNNNNNNNNNNNNNNNNNNNNNNNNNNNNNNNNNNNNNNNNNNNNNNNNNNNNNNNNNNNNNNNGUUUUUAUUUAUUUGUUUACUUUAGAUUCGGUAAUAUGCAUGUAGUCUUCAUUCUUUCAAGGAUCCUCUUAAUAAACUGGGGAAUUCAAAGUGAAUCUUAUGUUUUACACCAAAAUAGCCACAUUGGAAACAUUUUCAUUGUGGCGCAAACUUUGAAAUUUACUUUGACGUUCUCUCAAUUUACACAUUGGUGAAUAACACUGUCUGGAUUGUGUCGUUACACUUUUUAUGUCUUUAUUUUCUUGUGUUUUGCCUCAAAACAUUAACAAAAAGUGAAUAAAAAAUGCUCCCAACCAGAUAUAUAACAUUUGAAGUAUUGUAUGUGCACGUGUUCAUCACUUUGUGUCUACAUUUUGUUUCCUAAGGUCCGUAGGAGCUGAAAUUCAGAAAAUUCAGAGGUUUCAAUGUAUCCUAUUAAAAUGCAAUUUUGCUUGUUUAUUGUAUUAAAAACUAAACAAGUUUCGGUCUAUAUAUAGAUACCCACUGCACAGUAAAGAAAUUAUUCCCCAUUACUCCUUCAACCUACACUAUUAGUCAUCUUUCAAAGGCACCCGCCUAAGCAACUAGUUUGCAUCUGAAACAACAAGUCAUAGUUUGAAUAUAUGUUGUUUUGAAAGCUAAAUCUCCUACCUGCAGUUCACCCACCUGUUAUGUGCUACAUAUCCCGUCAUCAUUUAUAUUGGACUCGUACCACACCAAGCAGUAGCUUACCCAAUCCUUAUGCUGCUGAAGCUUUUCAUUGCAAUUCUGAUAAUAUACCACAAACUCACAAAAACUACAUCACCAAUAAACCCUUUCUGUUCAGAAUUUCUGGAUAAUACUGCUAGAUGUGACCAUAUAUGGUUGCCGCUUGGGUCCAAGAAAGCUAAUGUACAAUAGAAAGCAAAAAUAUUCUCUUAAUUAAUUGUUGAUUGUUAGACAUGGGAAAACUAUACAAGUUUUUUUUUCCUAACUGGAAAUUGUGAAGAACGGAAAAGAAUAAAAAUAAUUUAAAUAAAUUUAUUUUGGGUAUACUUUGCAUUUAAUCUUGACAAUUGUCUAGUUUUGGGAAUAAACCAAUAUUUCCUGUUCACAGUUACAGCACUUAUUGCCCUAGGCCAGGGAUAGGCAACCUUGGGCACUCCAGAUGUUGUGGACUACAUCCCCCAUAAUGCUUUUACACACAUAAUGCUGGCAAAGCAUCAUGGGAGAUGUAGUCCAAAACAUCUGCAGUGCCGAAGGUUGCCUAGGCCAUGGUGAGCCUAUAAAUCAAACACUUUGUAUUCCUAGUCUAAUUUCAAGAGUGAGUUGCAAACUGUUCAUUUAGUCAUUGACAUGCAAUUUAAUCCAUUUUUGUUUUGUUGUUUACAUUUUAAUUGAUUAUAAUGCAACUUAUUUCAUCCUUAUCAAAAGUAGUUUUUAAUUAACUGCAGCCAGAAUACCUGAUUGAUUCAUUGCUAGAUUUACAUUUCCUUGACCAAUCAAUCCCAGUUUUACUGGAGAAUAGCAGCUUAAUGGCCCGCAAAGGUUCUACUCAUCUCAGCGAAGAGCCGGGUCCUGAUGAAAGCUGUCUGCCAGAAAAAGCCACUGAAAUUAAUAUCCAGGCUGUUCUGGAAAAGACAUCAAAAGCUAUACGAGAUAUUGAAUUAUUGCUUUCCUCCAGAAAGUAAUAACUAUGGAAUGUAAAUAAGUUGGUGCAGGUCUCGCGGCUAUGAAGAAAUUCAUACUGUGUACUGAACACCCUUUAUAGACAUAAAUUGUUUUUAUGAUAGAAGAGAAGGAUGUUUUCUGCAAGAUGAU
rnacentral:lncRNA from 1 species